GAUCAUGGCUCAGAUUAAACGCUGGCGGCAUGCUUUACACAUGCAAGUCGAACGGCAGCAUGGAGAGCUUGCUCUCUGAUGGCGAGUGGCGAACGGGUGAGUAAUACAUCGGAACGUGUCCUGUUGUGGGGGAUAACUACUCGAAAGAGUAGCUAAUACCGCAUAAGACCUAAGGGUGAAAGCGGGGGACCUUCGAGCCUCGCGCAGUUGGAGCGGCCGAUG
rnacentral:rRNA from 1 species